UGUGGAGAUAUGCUGGCUCUAUACACGCUAAAAGUACUGAUUAUUUACAUGGAGUCUGGUGUAUUUAGCGAAAGCAAUUUCGUGGAUGUUUUUAUGCUAAAAAAAGGAUCUUACUCUUUAACUAAAAGGUCUAUCUCUGUAGGGAUCCAUCCCAUAAUGUUGUCAGACAGGUAGAAUAAUAAUCAGAGUCUGU